rnacentral:rRNA from 1 species
UACGGAGGGUGCAAGCGUUGCUCGGAAUUAUUGGGCGUAAAGCGCGCGCAGGCGGUCCCUUAAGUCUGAUGUGAAAGCCCCCGGCUUAACCGGGAAGGGUCAUUGGAAACUGGGGGACUUGAGUGCAGAAGAGAAGAGCGGAAUUCCACGUGUAGCGGUGAAAUGCGUAGAGAUGUGGAGGAACACCAGUGGCGAAGGCGGCUCUUUGGUCUGUAACUGACGCUGAGGCGCGAAAGCGUGGGGAGCAAACAGG